rnacentral:rRNA from 1 species
CCCUGUGAAGGUUUAAUAGUAAGCAAAAUGGGCUCGCCCAAAAACGUCAGGUCGAGGUGUAGCGUACGAAGUGGGAAGAAAUGGGCUACAUUUUCUGUAUACAGAAUAUUACGAAUGGCGUAUUGAAACCAUACGCCUGAAGGUGGAUUUAGUAGUAAAAAGCAAAUAGAGUGUCCAUUUGAACUAGGCUCUGAGACGCGCACACACCGCCCGUCACUCUCCCCAACAUCCCAUUUAAAUAAUAUAUAAUAAAUCAACCAUAAACACGGGGAGGCAAGUCGUAACAUGGUAAGUGUACCGGAAGGUGCACUUGGAAUAA